rnacentral:rRNA from 1 species
UACGGAGGGUGCUAGCGUUGUCCGGAUUUAUUGGGCGUAAAGAGCGUGUAGGCGGCUUGGUAGGUCCGCUGUGAAAACUCGAGGCUCAACCUCGAGAUGUCGGCGGAAACCACUUGGCUAGAGUCCGGAAGAGGAGAGUGGAAUUCCCGGUGUAGCGGUGAAAUGACGCAGAUAUCGGGAAGAACACCUAUGGCGAAGGCAGCUCUCUGGGACGGUACUGACGCUGAGACGCGAAAGCGUGGGGAGCGAACAGG